rnacentral:RNase_P_RNA from 1 species
GCGGAAAACUGGAUAGUCGCGGGGACAAUGUCCACGAGGAAAGUCUGGACUCCACAAAGCAGGGUGCCGGAUAACGUCCGGCUGGAGUAAUCCAAGGGAAAGCGCCACAGAAACAUACCGCCAGUUAUAAUGAACUGGUAAGGGUGAAAGGGUGGAGUAAGAGACCACCGUCGAUUUGGUAACAAAUUUGAACCGGCAAGCCCCACCCGGAGCAAUGCUAAGUUGGACUGUCAUGAGAAGCUUUGUCUCGCAGUCGUGGUAAGCAGCUUGAAUGGAAAGGUAACUUUUCAUCUAGAUGAAUGACUAUUGCAAGCGUAAUGCUUGAACAAAAUCCAGCUUACAGGUUUUCCGCACUC